rnacentral:misc_RNA from 1 species
GAUGAAGAACGCAGCGAAAUGCGAUAAGUAGUGUGAAUUGCAGAAUUCAGUGAAUCAUCGAAUCUUUGAACGCACAUUGCGCCCCAUGGUAUUCCGUGGGGCAUGCCUGUUCGAGCGUCAUUUACCCCCUCAAGCUCCGCUUGGUGUUGGGCGUCUGUCCCGCUUCGCGCGCGGACUCGCCCCAAAGGUAUUGGCAGCGGUCGUGCCAGCUUCUCGCGCAGCACAUUGCGCUUCUCGAGGCACCGGUGGGCCCGCGUCCAUCAAGCUCACCCCCCCAGUUUGACCUCGGAUCAGGUAGGGAUACCCGCUGAACUUAAGCAUAUCAAUAAGCGGAGGAA